rnacentral:rRNA from 1 species
GAUGAACGCUGGCGGCGUGCCUAAUACAUGCAAGUCGAGCGAACAGACGAGGAGCUUGCUCCUCUGACGUUAGCGGCGGACGGGUGAGUAACACGUGGAUAACCUACCUAUAAGACUGGGAUAACUUCGGGAGACCGGAGCUAAUACCGGAUAAUAUAUUGAACCGCAUGGUUCAAUAGUGAAAGACGGUUUUGCUGUCACUUAUAGGUGGAUCCGCGCCGCAUUAGUUAGUUGGUAAGGUAACGGCUUACCAAGGCAACGAUGCGUAGCCGACCUGAGAGGGUGAUCGGCCACACUGGAACUGAGACACGGUCCAGACUCCUACGGGAGGCAGCAGUAGGGAAUCUUCCGCAAUGGGCGAAAGCCUGACGGAGCAACGCCGCGUGAGUGAUGAAGGUCUUCGGAUCGUAAAACUCUGUUAUUAGGGAAGAACAAAUGUGUAAGUAACUAUGCACGUCUUGACGGUACCUAAUCAGAAAGCCACGGCUAACUACGUG